GGAGAGAUGUCAGAGCGGUUGAAUGUACGACUCUCGAAAAGUCGUGCCCUUCACGGGGCCGCGAGUUCGAAUCUCGCUCUCUCCGC
rnacentral:tRNA from 1 species